CAUUUUUCAUUACUUACUCAGUUUUAUUUAGGUGGACACAACAGUGAAGAACUCAAACAUGGUUUGACCUUUAUCUACAGACACAGCAGCCUGGAUUUUCAGCCUUUCAUUCCUUUUAAAUGAAAGUCAGCAGGCUCAAAAUGCAGAGCUUGGCUAAGUCACUUCUGUGGAAAUAUGAAAUAUAGUAGUGAUAACCACCAAGGGCUUUCAAAUUCUUGUGUUCUUCUAAGGAUCCUUUCCUAACACCAUGAUUUGUUCUCAUCUUUGUGGAAAUGAAACCAAGAUGGUCUUAAUUUGUAAAGUCCUUUUUCCUCUGUUGGCAGUCUUCUUACAAAGGAUGCAGCAAAAAGAACACAUUUUUCUUUCAAAGUUUUGAAGAAAUAUAGUCAUUAAAAAGAAUUUAAAUUAUGCCUAAAGCACCACUUUACAGAAUACCAUUAAAUUGUAAUUACGUGCUUUUAAAAAGCCAACUUGUUAAAGAGGAGCUGAUGGUUUCAGUUUUUGUAGGGAACACUUGUAACACUGCAGAAUUCUACAAGGGCUUUCUCCUCUGGUGGGCAGGGAAAAAACCACUCAAGUCAUGAGAAACUUUUAUAGCUUUCAGGAACUUGAAGAACAACUGCUGAUUAAAUUUCAUGCUUUAGUGACGAAGUAUUUUUACAGCUAAAAAAGGAACCCAGAAACAUAAUACAUUUCAUUUAAAGCAGGCAGAAAAACCAACCACAAAUUAAUAUCUAUUGUAUUCCACAUGGCACUAUAUAAUCACAGAAGUACAAAUAAAAUCUGCUUUUCUGAAUAUUCCAAAAGGCAGACAGCAGCUUAUAUAAUUUCCGUUCUUCAGAAAACAGUAAUUAGAUUAUGUAAACAACUGUCCGUAAGAGCUAAAAGUAAACUUGGAGGUUCCUGAGGAUUACUGAACUUAUGCAACAUGCUAACUUUCUAAGACUAAAACUGGGAAGUUCCACAGAUGUUAAAGAUUUUUGUGUGUGUGUGUAAAAUGUGAACA
rnacentral:lncRNA from 1 species